GUCCAAGCAUGAAAUGAGUUUGUUCUCCAAAGUUUUAUGGCCCUUUAGUUAUCUGACCCUGACUCAGAAUAAGCCUUCAUAAUUCUUUGAAUGUUAUCUAUUGUUUGAUCAUUACUGCCUGAAGAUGAUUGAUGAGUUUUACCUCUAUUCUUAUGCAAAUUAAACCCAGUAAAAGCCCAUUGAGGAACAGGCUCAAGGCCCUUCUCCUCUGAGAGACUGGCCACCUUUCCUCCCCAAGCAGAUCAUGUCUUGGUAGACUUAUUCGCAUCUGUGGCAGAUGGAGCUGGGCUCUUUGGGCAGAACCCCCCCCCAUACCUCCCACUAAGCAAAGCAAGAGAUAGCCAACCUAUCUGAUUCAGAGUUCAAA